AUCACUUCUCAGCCUUUUGGCUAAGAUCAAGUGUAAAAUAUAAAAUUUCUAGUAAUAAGCUUAAUAAGAAGUUGUGUGUGUGUGCACACACUUAUAAAAUACACUACUGAGGAAAUGUAACAACC
rnacentral:snRNA from 1 species